CUGGAGACCCUGCAAAAAGGCUGGGCCUGGGCCGCGCUGGUUCCCCCGCGAGUCCUCUUCACUGCGCAGGCGUGGGCAGCUGCAGAACCCUGUCAUUCUUUCUUAGUUUGCUUAUCAUCACUAAUAUUCUUUGCUAUGACCCAGGAUAUACCUGGAACCCAGCGACCUUGACCUGCCUUCCAAUGCAGGACUGAUGAGAAGUAAACAUAGGAGGUGCUCCCAAACUCAGAGCUGCCCAGUAACAUCCACAAACCCAGAGAAUGGAGAAGAGACAACCGUUACUGACAUAGAAAGAAGGAACUUGGCCUUUCUCUCAAGGAUAAAUUUCUUUCUUACCAGUCUCUGUGUGAGGCAUCUCAGCAGAAGACAUUUGCAAGGAUGGAUGGUUUUCUUCAGGC